rnacentral:lncRNA from 1 species
GGGGAGGGCUGAAGAGAGAGAUGAGACUCCUAAUUGUGCAUUUAACUGUCUCCUCUAUUGUAAAUCUCAAAUCCACUUCAUAGGAUUUUCAGCACUCAUUUAAACCUGUGAUCCUGAGUAGCUAUUAAGAUAAUGUGGUCCACAACCUUUGGGAUGGUAUUGCCUUAUUGCCUAAAGGGAUGGGGAACUAGUUCUGGUGGCACGAGAGACUCUUCU